rnacentral:rRNA from 1 species
AUUGAACGCUGGCGGCAUGCCUUACACAUGCAAGUCGAACGGCAGCACGGGUGCUUGCCCCUGGUGGCGAGUGGCGAACGGGUGAGUAAUACAUCGGAACAUGUCCUGUAGUGGGGGAUAGCCCGGCGAAAGCCGGAUUAAUACCGCAUACGAUCUACGGAUGAAAGCGGGGGACCUUCGGGCCUCGCGCUAUAGGGUUGGCCGAUAGCUGAUUAGCUAGUUGGUGGGGUAAAGGCCUACCAAGGCGACGAUCAGUAGCUGGUCUGAGAGGACGACCAGCCACACUGGGACUGGGACACGGCCCAGACUCCUACGGGAGGCAGCAGUGGGGAAUUUUGGACAAUGGGCGAAAGCCUGAUCCAGCAAUGCCGCGUGUGUGAAGAAGGCCUUCGGGUUGUAAAGCACUUUUGUCCGGAAAGAAAUCCUUGGCUCUAAUACAGUCGGGGGAUGACGGUACCGGAAGAAUAAGCACCGGCUAACUACGUG